CUGCAGCUCAAGUGGUGAUCAUUAUUAUUGGGCCUAAAACGUCCGUAGCCUGUUUAGUAAAUGCCUGGGUAAAUCGUGUAGCUUAACUAUACGAAUUCCGGGUAGACUGCUAAACUUGAGACCGGGAGAGGCUAGAGGUACUCCUGGGGUAGAGGUGAAAUUCUGUAAUCCUAGGGGGACCACCAGUGGCGAAGGCGUCUAGCUAGAACGGGUCUGACGGUGAGGGACGAAGCCCUGGGGCGCAAACCGGAUUAGAUACCCGAGUAGUCC
rnacentral:rRNA from 1 species